UACGGAGGGGGCUAGCGUUGUUCGGAAUUACUGGGCGUAAAGCGCGCGUAGGCGGCUUUGUAAGUUAGAGGUGAAAGCCCAGGGCUCAACCCUGAAAUUGCCUUUAAGACUGCAUCGCUUGAACAUCGGAGAGGUAAGUGGAAUUCCGAGUGUAGAGGUGAAAUUCGUAGAUAUUCGGAAGAACACCAGUGGCGAAGGCGACUUACUGGACACAUAUUGACGCUGAGGUGCGAAAGCGUGGGGAGCAAACAGG
rnacentral:rRNA from 1 species